CACUGCCAGUAGUUCCUUUGGAUUUCCCUAUCCUACAAGAAGUCUCAAUUGUUGUGGGAUUGUAAUUGUUAGAUGACCACGAGGACAGAUAAGUCCAUUAACUCGAAAUUGGUGUGCGGAUAGAUAAUGAAGCUCUGCGAAUACCAAUCCCCGACCUCACAAUAAAAAUUAAAAUCCCUUGAUCUAGCUAAAACCACACUCCCGUUAACAGUCUUCUUCUUUGAAGAAUCUGCUUCAACUCACAAACCAAGCGAAGGAUGGGAGGCCGAGGAGUUAUUGGUGAUAAAUGGUCCUCGAGGAUUCUUUGGGCCUGUGCUAUUGGAAGUGUAGUCAGCCUGUAUAUGGUUGUUGUUGAAAGACAAUUACAAAACAGGGAACGAAUGAUGGCUGAAGGUUUAAAGAAUAUUGAUGUGGAAUCAGGCGCUGGUGACAAUGUUUAAACAUGUGACGACAUGCCAAUAAACUCUGCUGUAUUUUCUUUUGAAGAGCUUUCUCACUGUGCUAAGUUGAGCCCCCUGUUAAUGUAAAAGCUUGAAGAUUUCCUCUUGUUUUGUUUUGCAUUUGGAGCUUGAGGGUUCGUCUCUGGUAAUAAUUCAUUUACUUCAGAUGGAUGGUAGUGUUUCAUAGAUCAGGAUUUAACAGUUCACACCAAGGAAUAUAUAUAAAGGAGCAGCCUUUUAAUUUUGCUAUGCUCUGGUUAAAA